rnacentral:rRNA from 1 species
CCUACGGGAGGCAGCAGUGAGGAAUAUUGAGCAAUGGGCGCAAGCCUGACUCAGCAACGCCGCGUGGAUGAUGACGGCCUUCGGGUUGUAAAAUCCUUUUCUGAGGGAAGAUAAUGACGGUACCUCAGGAAUAAGUUCCGGCUAACUACGUGCCAGCAGCCGCGGUAAAACGUAGGGGACAAGCGUUAUCCGGAUUUACUGGGCGUAAAGCGCAUGUAGGUGGCUUGCCAAGUUGGACGUGAAAGCUCCCGGCUUAACUGGGAGAGGUCGUUCAAAACUGGCAAGCUUGAGGUUGGAAGAGGAGAGCAGAAUUCCCGGUGUAGUGGUGGAAUGCGUAGAUAUCGGGAGGAAUACCAGUGGCGAAAGCGGCUCUCUGGUUCAAUACUGACACUGAGAUGCGAAAGCGUGGGGAGCGAACGGGAUUAGAUACCCCGGUAGUCCACGCUGUAAACGAUGGAUACUAGGUGUAGGGGGCAUUAACCCCCUCUGUGCCGAAGCCAACGCGUUAAGUA